UACGUAGGGGGCUAGCGUUGUUCGGAAUUACUGGGCGUAAAGGGCGCGUAGGCGGUUUGCUAAGUUGGAUGUGAAAACUCUGGGCUUAACCCAGAGCCUGCAUCCAAAACUGGCAAACUUGAGUACUGGAGGGGAAAGCGGAAUUCCUGGUGUAGCGGUGAAAUGCGUAGAUAUCAGGAGGAACACCUGCGGUGUAGACGGCUUACUGGACCAUAACUGACGCUGAGGCACGAAAGCGUGGGUAGCAAACAGG
rnacentral:rRNA from 1 species